UGUUUAUCAGAUUUCUGGUAACCUUUACAAGAAAUGUAUCUGAAUGCGCCCAGAAAAAGUUACUAUAAAGUUUCAAUGGAUGAUGGUAGGCAGUUGUAGGGGAGAACACAGUUUAUGUAUCUAAAUGGAAGUUAUUUCCAAACACGAAGGUGGAAUGGAAGAAUAUGUUGACUGGCUUGUGUCACUGGUUUUAAACUACUGGGUGGAAUUGUAACAGAGAUGUUAGGGAGUUGUGGAUGUAUUAUGCUAGAUAGUUGUGGCCUCUUUGAAAUUGUGCCUGCCAGUAAAUCCUCUACCAAUUUAAAAGCAACCUUAAAUUAGUUGGACAGCAAUGUGCGAACUAAAUGUAACUGUAAGAUUUCUUUUUAAUCUCAAAUGAAUAGCGAGAUAAAGUCCCCUCUGAACCUCCUUUUUCCCCAGCUCCCUCAGCAGGGACCUAGAUUCCAAACCUUCUCUGGACUUGCUUCAGAACCUCUAUGUCCUUUUUGAAGUGAGGGACCCAGAACUGGAUAUAGGUUUUGAGGUGUCUCCAGUGCCAAGUACAGGGGAAGAAUGAGGUUCCUGGUUCUGCUGGCCAUGCUGUUCCUGAUCCAGGAUACCAUUGGCCUUCUUGGCCACCUCGGCACACAUUGGCUUGUGUCCAGCUGCUGUCAGUCAACACCACCAUGUCAUUUUCUGCUGGGACACUUUCCAGCUACUUUUCCCCCAGCCUGUGGUGCUGUCUGGGCUUGUGACCCCAGGGCAGGACCUGGCACUUCACCUUGUUGAACUCACACCAUUGGCCUUGGCCCAUUGAUCCAGCCUGUCCAGAUCCCUCUCAGGGCCUUCCUACCCUCCAGCAGAACACAACUCCCAUGGUGUCAUCUGCAGAAUGACUGAGAGUACCCUUGAUCCUCUUGUCCAUAUCAUCGACAAAGGUAUUGAAUAUGACCUGCCUCAAAACUGAGCCCUGGGGAGCUGGUGACAGGCCUGCAGCUGAAUGCAACACCAUUCACCACCACUCUUGGCUUGCCCAUCUAGGGAGUUCUUUUACCCAGUGAACUCCUGGCCCACCUGAGCCAUGUGCAGACAGUUCCUCCAAGAGAAUGCUGUGGGAGACAAGUGUCAAAGGCUUUCCUGAAGUGCAGGUAAAUGACAUCCACAACCUUGCCUUCAUGUGCUCAGUGGGACACCUUGCCAUAGAAGGAGAUGAGAUUAGUCAAGCAGGGCCUGCCGUGCAAGAACCCAGGCUGACUGAGACUGAUAAAGACAAUGAUUGCUCUUGUUGUCCUGCAUGCACUGUGUGAUUAUACCCAAGAUAAUCUAAAUACCGGCAUUUAAGGUCAGUUCAUAAAUUUCAUGGCUUGGUUUUGUAGCUAUAUCCUCAGGGGUCCAGGAGAAAAUAACUAUAAUAUAUUGCUGCAAUAUGCAUCUUGUUGCUGGUUGACUAAAGAAUUAAAGAAAAAGUGGUGGAUACUCUUCCAUAAGAAUACUGUUAAUUCUUUUCCAUACAGACCAUUGAAAGAUUUAUUUGGUUAAGAAAUACCAAAACAGAUUUCUUUCAUGACUUGUGCCAUUCUGUGAGUUCAAUAUAUGUUGCUACUUCUAGCUAUUUGAGUUGUGUUCAUAACAAGAGUUACUGAUUUUGAUGGCAAGUUUUACUCGGAGAAGUGCAACUCUUAUAUACCAGUGGAGUGCCCAAGUCCUUUACUGUCAUACUUCUUGUCUGUGCUACUUACCUGGUACCAUUAUUGUUGCUUCUCUGUUUUCUUGUCUUUCCUUACUUAUUUACUUUACUUUAAUCCAUGACUUUUCUGUAUAACCUGUAAGAAUUUGGUGCUCGUUUGUACCCUCUUUAAUUCUUUCUGUUGUACAUGUGGAAAGCUCACACCAAAGGGUAACCAGGUGCCCAGAUAGGACAGUCCAGUGCCAGAAAAUAUAUUGGAUUUUUGGAUAGCCAAGGUAAUAACUAUGGAAUGUUGUGGGCUUUGGUUACAACAAUGAAUGGAACAUAAGCAGAGCUGAGGUGGUGAAAAUUGUAGUGUAGUCCUCAAGAUUCAAUGAAUUGUCAUUUGAGCUGGAUUCAGCUUGGAAGUCUUGGAUCUUAAACCACUGUCAUGCUGUCCCAGCUUCAGGAUAGACUGGACUUGUUGGUGACCUGAAAACAUAAUGCAAGAUUGGCGAGUGUAGUCUAGCUCACUGCUAAGAGAUAUUUAAUUUUGGAUCUUACUGAAUGUGAGAUGGGUAUCACCUCACAUGAAUUUUUAUGUAUUUCUUUAAUUCCUUCUUUAGGACAUGAUCUUAGAAAAGAAGAUAAUUUGGGAUCAGCAGUGAAACUGUCACUGCUGAUAAGUUUCAUGAACUUCCACAAGCCUUCUUAUUCAGUGUCUUCUAAUUUCUUGGCUUUGCUUAAUUUUUGCAUCACAAAAUCUAACUCAACUUUAGUAUGAAUGUAAGAAUCUCAGAGGUGGAUUUAUUUUCUUUAAGUAGAAGUCUUGUGUUGAAGAACUGCUAAUUCGAGGAAGUAUUUAGGAGAGUUGCACUCUCUCUGCCUGGAAUCCUUUCAAGCAAAGCACAGUACUUAGUAGCUGGUUUGUAUAAAACAAUGCAGAAGUCACCAAGUUGUUUUAAAUGGUACUUUCUAAAUUUUGGCACUUAGUCUGCAAUUUUAUCAGUUCUUCAUUUAAGUCUUGCUUUCAGGUAACUAUAUUUGGAUAUUCAAAUUUUAGGUGGAUUUGUUCACUGCCUGUGAUAAAAAGCCUAAAGGGUUACUUAAAUACUCCAAGUCAAAACACAAAUGCCAAAUUCCCUGGUGAUCUUAUCUAUUACAUUUCCUAUACAAGUUUCCUUUUGCAGUGUAUAAAUUGGAUAUUCCUGUUAAAUAGAAGAUAAUGAGUGACUUUUUUCUUGAUUCAUAGAUUCCUCUUGGACUGACAACAACAUUACUGUGUUGAGUAGUUUGUUCAAGGGUUUUUGAGGGUUUUUUCUUCUCAUAGAAUUUAACAGAAAAGGCCAAAUAGAAGUAUAUUCACACUCUUUCUGAACAGGGUAGAUUAAAGUAUUUUUCUUGCUGCUUUUUUGCACUGAAAUCUUGUUCUUGCUUUUCUUGUUUUAAGCCAUAUUUUUUGUGGUGUCUGCAGAAACUUUGUGUAUGUCUUUCAUCUGCACUUUGAUAAACUCCUUUUAGUGUUUAAUUCUCUGAUAUGUUCCUCACAAAAUGUAUAAAUUACAAUAGGUGAGAUUUUGCAUAUUUUUGUGACCAACAUUUAAUUCAGAAAUUCAAAUAUUAACAUGGCUUAAAGCUUCCUGGGCUUUGUGUGAAAUUUAUUUUAAACCACUGUAGUUAUGUCUAUGUGGCAUGUUCUAGUCAUGCAGAAGUUUUUAGAGCCUUGAAAACACAUACCAUCAUUUUUAGUUUGACUACUUGCCUGCUGUUUUUUGAUGAGGAAUACGAACCUCUAACAGCCAAAAAAAACCCCACCCAAAUCAAACUUCUUUUCACCAAGCAGUUCUUCACUGUUAAAGCUUUAUGAAAGUGACAAUACGUGGAAAAUGAACUCGAAGGAGGAGGAAGAAUUCUCUGCAACAGAUCUUCAUGUCUUUCACUAAGAGGACAUUUGUCAAGAUAAUUGCCUCAACUAUUGUACCUUGGAGCAGCAUGUACAAAACUGAUCUUAAGACUAAAGAGUCAUUAGUAUUUGAAAUAAUUGCCAGGGGAAAAAAAAAAUCAGGGAAGACUUUUUUCUUUUUUUAAAAUUUACAGAAGAUAAAAUUACUGAAGUCCAUGAAGAGGUUAUCCUUACCUAGUAAAAAGGCACAGCUGCUGAAAGAAAAAAGAAUACUCAGUAGAAAAUUGCAAAACCCAUUUUUGUUCUUAAAGGAACACAUUACAUGUCAUGUCAACUCCUUUACUGAUGUGUUUUGACCUUUCUCUAGGAAACUGGCAUUUCUGCAGUAUUCAGAAUUGGGUCAACCUUCAGUUAGUAGAUUUUGGACUUUUCCCUUAUCUGUAAUUAUUUCUGUCAACAAGUCAUAAUUUUGUGCCUGUUUAACUAGGAAUUAACCUAUAGCCUCCAAACAGCAUUCAAGAAAAUUUCAAGACUGUUCUAAAAGGAUAAGGAUAUUCAAAGUAUCUGUAAUAUUUCAGCUUCUUUUUCUACUGGUGCAGCUUGAGAGAGAACAGAGUUCCAGCAGCCUGGUAGUGAUACCCAGAUGCAGCUGGGGAAGGCAUGUUUUACACUGGGCGUAGGUGCAAGUAAAUCUCUUGUGGAGUGUUGACUUUGUAAAAGAUGCAUUUCCUCAACAAACCACAUGUCACUGGUUUCUAAAUGUGUUGAUAUAGUGUAUAUGAGCAGACACUCGGACUUUUUGUGAGGUAUGCUAAGUAUAUAUCUGGCAGGAGAUACUAAGAUUAUAAUGAGGUUUUUAAAUUGACAGUCUUAUGCUGUGUCAGAACCUUGUUACUCUAUAGAUGCAUUUGUAUGAAUGAACUUUUUUAUCAGAGAUGAAAUUAUAUCUUUGGAGUUUUACACUGGCUUUGGUCUUUAUUGGUUAGUAUAAUUUAAAACUAUAAACUAAAGUGUAAAUGCAGCAUUAUUUUAAUGAAUAAGGGGUAUAAUUAUAAUUAUCUUUUUCAGUAACUCAAAUUUUCUGUUACGCACUCAAUCACAAGGAAUAUUUUCCAGCAUUCUUUAGAAUGCUUCCUCAUCUGGUGUUAAAAUUAGGUAAUUCUUUGCAUUAAAACUGUACAGAUGAAAAUGUGUAUCCAGUUUCUUUCCCUUUUCUUAGAGGGUUUAUUUGAUACUUAAUGAUGUCUCAUAGCUGUGCUUUGCUCCCUGCUUUUUUACUGAGCAUAUAAAUGUGGAUAUAGGUCUAGACUCUCCAUUUUACUUACUGCCUGCCUAUUAAACAAUCCUUGCUUCUUAAGCAAGAAGAGUAUUCAGCCUACUUAGUGAUUGUGUUUCAGGGUUUAUCUCCUGUCUCAUAGAGCAUAUACACAUUCUGAUUGUAUUUGGGGACAAGUAAGUAAACUUGUACUGCCGCAUGUGGAAUAUGAUUAAAAAUGCCUGCUCCUCAGACCAAAGCAUUCCUCUUAAUCUUUGAUAUAGCUUAAGCUUUCAUAUAGAGUACCAUCUUUGUGUUUGUCUGGGUCACAGCAGUGUAAACAGGAAUUUUGGCAUGAGUAAUUCAGAUGUUUAUUUGUACCAAAAAGCCCCCUCCCUACCAACAUCCUUUUAAAUCUUACAAGAAUUUUGGAUCUCCUGUGAAGAUGAAUAUUCAACGCAUCAAUAGCAGGUAAGUGCUUUUUAAAAUACUUUACCUAAAUACUAUAUGGAAAAUAUUGAAUAAUCUUGUAAUUUUUACAUUGUCAUUUACUACAUUUUUCUACCCUUUUAGAUAUCCAAGAUCCAGUACUGGAUAGCCUUCCAGUCUGGUGUUUUUCUUGCCUCUUCAUGACCUCGUGUCUUGAGCAGCCUAGCUGGAUCCCCUGGUUCCUGUUUCUUCUUGUUUCAAAAUUCUGCUUUCUCCCAUUUUAGAUUCCCUACCCUUUUAUAUUCAUAUGCAUACACUAGCCUUUUGCUACCUAUUUUGGUCUUUGCUAUUUAUCCUGAGACUUUGGUUGGGUUCCAUGCAGUAUUUUCCAUGUGGCACUACUCUCCUGGAUUCCCUGCCACAGUGCAGUUAGUUUGUCUGAAGAACAUCCCUGAUGUGCUUUUGAGGUUUUAAUGGCCUGAUUGUCCUCAUCUACAUUUCUGUUCUGCUGCUUUGUCUUGGUCUAAGUAGACAUUGGAGAAGACAUUAAGGCUGUGCCUUUUGCUGCCCUACUUAGAAAGCAAAUGCGUGAACGUUUUUUUAAAGAACCAAGAGAGCCUGUGGGUUGUGGGGGAUGAUAAGCAAAGUGAAAAGUUCCUGAGAUAAAAAAAUGCAAACAACUCCCCUGAACAACAACAACACGUCUCCUCUUGGACAUGUUUAGAUUGAUGUUUGUUCUGCUCCUUUCUGCUCUAAUUAGGAAAUGCAGUCACAUUUUAGCUUUUAGGCUAAACGUAGUUCUUUCUUUUUUUUCCCCUUCUGUCAAAUAAUCUCUCUAUUUCUGUUUGAUUUUGUAUCAUUUUGAUGAGCCUUUCUUUGCAAGUGCUCAGCUGUGAAUCCCUUAUGCUCCACACCAUAUGAGAAUUGCUGCUGAAUAGAAUAUCUUAGAUUCAUCUGAAAUAUGUUUUGUUUUCUUGUGGAAUACACUCCCUUAAAAUAUUUGUUUUGAAUGUGGUUAUACAUCUCUUCAGAUAUCUGGCUGCUCCUUUGCUAAUGGAUUCAGAAAAGUCAUUAAGCAUGUGUGUAUUGUGAUCUCUGGCUCUAAGUGGGGCAUCUGGGGGAAAAUACCAAGUUUAAGUGUUUUCUGGCGUUCAUAUUGCAGUAGUUCAUGCUGAUUUCCUUGAGUACACAUUUAAAUUGUUGAUACCCUCAAAGUUUUAAGUUUUUUGUGCUGUUACUCUGUUGUUGUGUAGCAAGGAUUUAAAGUCUUAGUUUGACUUACCAUUCAGUUACAAAGCAGGAACAUAUUAACAUAGUACAUUACAAAAAUAUUUAAAUGUAAAGCUGUUAUGUCUGAGUUUCUGGUCAUGUAAAAUUCUUCUUUUGCAUAAUUCUUGCUGUGUGAAUCCUUUUUGGGGGGAUUGGGCAGGUGGUUCAGGGGAGAAAACAGUUUUCUUAUGCAAAUUGAAUAAGAUUUGUCAUCGGAAUUUAUAAGGACAUGUCUGUUUCUGCUUAUGAAAUAAAAUGGUAAAGCAGGUUUUGUGAAGUUUCGAAAUUAAAUAUUUUUAACUUAAAAAGUAACAUUUGCUCAAUAUAUAAGUAGUGAGUUUGUUUUUCUGAGUUUAGAAUACGGGAUUGAAGUUCUUGUCAUAAUUAUGUGAACUGACGUUUUCAUGGGAGUUCUUAUUUAAGGAGACCUCUUAAUGGUUUUAUAUUUCUUUGUAUGUUUUGGUAACAUAGAUCUAUCCAAAUAAAACACAGUCUAUGAUUGUUGGGUCUGAAUUAUAUAUUUUUAAAUAACAAUGUAACUUGUAUUGCCAGAGAUUUUUACAGUGCUGAAAUUUAAACAGUUACUUAAAGCUUAUCUGGGAGUAAUUGCAACUUUGUUCUUUUUUUCUUGUUGUGUUUCA